GAUGAACGCUGGCGGCGUGCUUAACACAUGCAAGUCGAACGGAAAGGCCAGUGCUUGCACUGGUGCUCGAGUGGCGAACGGGUGAGUAACACGUGGGUGAUCUGCCCUGCACUUUGGGAUAAGCCUGGGAAACUGGGUCUAAUACCAGAUAGGACCAUGCUUUGGAUGGUGUGGUGGAAAGUUUUUUCGGUGUGGGAUGAGCUUGCGGCCUAUCAGCUUGUUGGUGGGGUAAUGGCCUACCAAGGCGUCGACGGGUAGCCGGCCUGAGAGGGUGUACGGCCACAUUGGGACUGAGAGACGGCCCAGACUCCUACGGGAGGCAGCAGUGGGGAAUAUUGCACAAUGGGCGCAAGCCUGAUGCAGCGACGCCGCGUGGGGGAUGACGGCCUUCGGGUUGUAAACUCCUUUCGCAACUGACGAAGCUUUUUGUGACGGUAGGCUGAGAAGAAGCACCGGCUAACUACGUG
rnacentral:rRNA from 1 species